rnacentral:SRP_RNA from 2 species
GCCGGGCAUGGUGGCUCAUGCCUGUAAUCCUAGCACUUUGGGAGGCUGAGGCGGGUGGAUCACUUGAGGUCAGGAGUUCGAGACCAGCCUGGCCAACAUGGUGAGACCCUGUCUCUA